ACGCUUAACCAACUGAGCCCCCACGAAGGUGGUUUUCCCGGGGCGAGGCGUAUCCAUAGUACUCUGGAUGUGCUGAUCUGGGAUUUGUCCAAAUGUGGGAAACCCGAUUGCAUAAUUUGUGGUAGUUGGGAACUGCGUUCCCGC
rnacentral:snRNA from 1 species